UUGAGUCAGACUCGGAUUGUGUCCAUUUGAGUCCGAGUCAUUUUCUUUUAUUGCAUUAUUUGCUUUUGUCUUAGUCAAGUCAAUUUGGUCAGUUGUUUUGUUAUUAGACUAGUCAAUUGGGUUUAUGUAAUUGGGUUAAUUUAGUGGACCAAUUUUGGUAAGGGAAUAGUUGAUGUAAGAGUCCAAAUUUAAUCAGUGUCAAUUGAUUGAUUUGAUCAAUUGAUUACUUGAUUUGGUCAA
rnacentral:lncRNA from 1 species